UACAGAGGGGGCAAGCGUUGUUCGGAAUUACUGGGCGUAAAGGGCGCGUAGGCGGCCUGUUAAGUCGAACGUGAAAUCCCCGGGCUCAACCCGGGAACUGCGUCCGAUACUGGCAGGCUUGAAUCCGGGAGAGGGAUGUGGAAUUCCUGGUGUAGCGGUGGAAUGCGCAGAUAUCAGGAGGAACACCAACGGCGAAGGCAGCUCGCUGGGACGGUACUGACGCUGAGGCGCGAAAGCGUGGGGAGCGAUCCGG
rnacentral:rRNA from 1 species